AGUUUGAUCCUGGCUCAGAGUGAACGCUGGCGGCAGGCCUAAUACAUGCAAGUCGAACGGCAGCACAGCAGAGCUUGCUCUGUGGGUGGCGAGUGGCGGACGGGUGAGGAAUACAUGGGAAUCUGCCCAGUCGUGGGGGAUAACGUAGGGAAACUUACGCUAAUACCGCAUGCGCCCUUCGGGGGAAAGCCGGGGACCGUAAGGCCUGGCGCGAUUGGAUGAGCCCAUGUCGGAUUAGCUAGUUGGCGGGGUAAAGGCCCACCAAGGCGACGAUCCGUAGCUGGUCUGAGAGGAUGAUCAGCCACACUGGAACUGAGACACGGUCCAGACUCCUACGGGAGGCAGCAGUAGGGAAUAUUGGACAAUGGGCGCAAGCCUGAUCCAGCCAUGCCGCGUGAGUGAAGAAGGCCCUCGGGUUGUAAAGCUCUUUUGUCCGGAAAGAAAAGCGCCGGGUUAAUACCCUGGUGUCCUGACGGUACCGGAAGAAUAAGCACCGGCUAACUUCGUG
rnacentral:rRNA from 1 species